rnacentral:lncRNA from 1 species
CAGAAGCUUAAAUGGAAUCGUGAGUUCUGCCACGUACUCUGCUUCAGAAGUUCCGGGGAGCAGAGGACACUCGAGGUCGCAUCCUCAGUGUGGCCUGGAUCCUUCUCCCCUUUUGUUCUCCUGGAGAACGUCUUGCAGUAUAGCUGAUCCUGGAUGUCGGAGAGGUCACAUGUGACUCUGAGCAGUAUGUCUGGUGUGGAGGCGUAAGAGAGGCCUGAUGCCCACGGAGGAUUUCACGUGUUAACAGGAUGGCCCUGUACACAGAAGCAACCAAGGGCCCCAGCACGGGGACACCAGCACCGGAUAGCACCUCAUAAGGACAAGACACUGAAUUUCUCCUUUGCCCUCUCAUGGAAGUCAUCUGCGAUCCCUCCGGGGGUGAGUAUUGUGUGUGCCCUGAGAUGGUCCCUGAGGGCGGCCAUAUGGACCCGCGUGCUGCCAGGCUGGCUGUGUGCCCCAGAUCCUGAGCUGUCGGUGGAGACAGGGGUCGAGCCCAGAGACCCCAGCCAGGUAAAACUACCUUUUGAUAGAUAUGCUGAUGGGUCUGGGAGGGGCACUCAGGAACGUAGGCCACUAGGUGGCCUUGUGCUUUUUGGGCAAGUCAUUUCCACCCUCCUCUGGCGAUAAGGCAGUUCGACUGGACCCUUCCAUCUCUGAUGUUGCACAUCCCGUGACUCUAUAAUGACCCCUGUCAGAAGCCAUCCUGCGGGAUGAGGACAGGGGUGAAAAGAUAGCGAGUCAACUCCAACCAGCGGUCAGGACGCCGGACCUGCUAACCAACUGCAACGCUUCCUACAUACCCAAGGCUCAAGUCAAACAGAAAAGCACAAAGCUCCUGGAUCCACUUUAACAUCCCUGCGAGGCUGAAAAUCUCCCUCCUUUUUAAGCUGUAAAAGAUGUGCUCCCUGAGACAGAUGCCCUCAUCUUUAAUCAUUUUCCACCGUCUCCAGCCACAAGCAGCCUGAAAGGUGAUGAAUUAGGACUCUGUAGAU